CAUCAGGUUCCACGUCGAAGAAAAUAGGUAGGAUCUCUUUAUUACCUUCUGAUUUGCAGGUAUUUGCCACGAUUUGCACAAGUUCGCGGAGGCACCAUUGGCUCGAAGCGUAGGUCUGAGAGAAAACGGACGCAGAUUCUAGCACCAGUCAAGCUAUGGAAGAGGACGUCAGUGAAUCCAGUCCGAGUGUCAGGUCCUCUGAAGCUCAGGAACACUUGGUACUCGCUUCCCGGUGAUGUUCCUGCAUCUAAGCUCACCAUAGCAGGAGUUUGCAGCUUAGCAGAUUUAGAUCUCUCUCUCUCUCUCUCUCAGCUUGGCAGAUCUAGAAUGAAUGAGAUUAUUGAUAUCUGUAUAAAAGAUGAAACUGACUUGUCAAUAAUUGAGGAGUGUGUUGCUGUUGAGUGAGUAGCUGAGAUGAAAAAGAUGUUUGUGGAGGGAGAGAGAAGGGUGGAAUAGAUAUUUGGGAAACGCGUAUUCCACGCACAGGACCACCUCAAUUUCUUGCCAGACUGUCCUAAGCAUAUAUGAAUAUUCAACAUAGCCGACCGUUUCUAACAAAUUCUAGAUAACAUUUCUGAAUGGGUCAUCCCUUUAAUUUGCGAAA